rnacentral:rRNA from 1 species
UACGUAGGGAGCAAGCGUUGUCCGGAAUUACUGGGCGUAAAGGGCUCGUAGGCGGCCAACUAAGUCGGACGUGAAAUCCCCAGGCUCAACCUGGGAACUGCGUCCGAUACUGGAUGGCUUGAAUCCGGGAGAGGGAUGCAGAAUUCCAGGUGUAGCGGUGAAAUGCGUAGAUAUCUGGAGGAAUACCGGUGGCGAAGGCGGCAUCCUGGACCGGCAUUGACGCUGAGGAGCGAAAGCCAGGGGAGCAAACGGG